rnacentral:rRNA from 1 species
GAUGAACGCUGGCGGCGUGCCUAAUACAUGCAAGUCGAGCGAACAGACGAGGAGCUUGCUCCUCUGACGUUAGCGGCGGACGGGUGAGUAACACGUGGAUAACCUACCUAUAAGACUGGGAUAACUUCGGGAAACCGGAGCUAAUACCGGAUAAUAUAUUGAAGAGCAUGGUUCAAUAGUGAAAGAUGGUUUUGCUGCAACUUAGAGAUGGAUCCGCGCCGCAUUAGCUAGUUGGUAAGGUCACGGCUUACCAAGGCAACGAUGCGUAGCCGACCUGAGAGUUUGUUCGUCCACACUUGAUCUAUUCCUCGGUCCAUACUCCUUCGGGAGGCAGCAGUAUGGAUGCCUCCGCAAUGGGCUAAAUCCUGACGUAGCAACCCCCCGUGAUUUAUGAAGUUCUUCGGAUCGUAAAACUCUGUUAUUAGGGAAGAACAAAUGUGUAAGUACCUAUGCACGUCUUGACGGUACCUAGUCAGAAAGCCACGGCUAACUACGUG